rnacentral:rRNA from 1 species
CCUACGGGUGGCUGCAGUGAGGAAUAUUGGUCAAUGGGCGGAAGCCUGAACCAGCCAAGUAGCGUGCAGGAUGACGGCCCUACGGGUUGUAAACUGCUUUUAUACGGGAAUAACGCGCCUUACGUGUAGGGCUUUGCAUGUACCGUAUGAAUAAGGACCGGCUAAUUCCGUGCCAGCAGCCGCGGCAAUACGGAAGGUCCGGGCGGUAUCCGGAUUUAUUGGGUUUAAGGGGAGCGUAGGCCGCAUGUCAAGCGUGCUGUGAAAUGGCCGGGCUCAACCCGUGCCUUGCAGCGCGAACUGGCGUGCUUGAGUCCGCGGAAGGCAGGCGGAAUUCGAGGUGUAGCGGUGAAAUGCUUAGAUAUGAGGAAGAACACCGAUUGCGAAGGCAGCUUGCUGCAGCGAAACUGACGCUGAUGCUCGAAAGCGCGGGUAUCGAACAGGAUUAGAUACCCGUGUAGUC